GAUGAACGCUGGCGGCGUGCCUAAUACAUGCAAGUCGAGCGAACGGACGAGAAGCUUGCUUCUCUGAUGUUAGCGGCGGACGGGUGAGUAACACGUGGAUAACCUACCUAUAAGACUGGGAUAACUUCGGGAAACCGGAGCUAAUACCGGAUAAUAUUUUGAACCGCAUGGUUCAAAAGUGAAAGACGGUCUUGCUGUCACUUAUAGAUGGAUCCGCGCUGCAUUAGCUAGUUGGUAAGGUAACGGCUUACCAAGGCAACGAUGCAUAGCCGACCUGAGAGGGUGAUCGGCCACACUGGAACUGAGACACGGUCCAGACUCCUACGGGAGGCAGCAGUAGGGAAUCUUCCGCAAUGGGCGAAAGCCUGACGGAGCAACGCCGCGUGAGUGAUGAAGGUCUUCGGAUCGUAAAACUCUGUUAUUAGGGAAGAACAUAUGUGUAAGUAACUGUGCACAUCUUGACGGUACCUAAUCAGAAAGCCACGGCUAACUACGUGCCAGCAGCCGCGGUAAUACGUAGGUGGCAAGCGUUAUCCGGAAUUAUUGGGCGUAAAGCGCGCGUAGGCGGUUUUUUAAGUCUGAUGUGAAAGCCCACGGCUCAACCGUGGAGGGUCAUUGGAAACUGGAAAACUUGAGUGCAGAAGCAGGAAAGUGGAAUUCCAUGUGUAGCGGUGAAAUGCGCAGAGAUAUGGAGGAACACCAGUGGCGAAGGCGACUUUCUGGUCUGUAACUGACGCUGAUGUGCGAAAGCGUGGGGAUCGAACAGGAUUAGAUACCCUGGUAGUCCACGCCGUAAACGAUGAGUGCUAAGUGUUAGGGGGGUUUCCCGCCCCCUUAGUGCUGCAGCUAACGCAUUAAGCACUCCGCCUGGGGAGUACGACCGCAAGGUUGAAACUCAAAGGAAUUGACGGGGACCCGCACAAGCGGUGGAGCAUGUGGUUUAAUUCGAAGCAACGCGAAGAACCUUACCAAAUCUUGACAUCCUUUGACAACUCUAGAGAUAGAGCCUUCCCCUUCGGGGGACAAAGUGACAGGUGGUGCAUGGUUGUCGUCAGCUCGUGUCGUGAGAUGUUGGGUUAAGUCCCGCAACGAGCGCAACCCUUAAGCUUAGUUGCCAUCAUUAAGUUGGGCACUCUAAGUUGACUGCCGGUGACAAACCGGAGGAAGGUGGGGAUGACGUCAAAUCAUCAUGCCCCUUAUGAUUUGGGCUACACACGUGCUACAAUGGACAAUACAAAGGGCAGCGAAACCGCGAGGUCAAGCAAAUCCCAUAAAGUUGUUCUCAGUUCGGAUUGUAGUCUGCAACUCGACUACAUGAAGCUGGAAUCGCUAGUAAUCGUAGAUCAGCAUGCUACGGUGAAUACGUUCCCGGGUCU
rnacentral:rRNA from 1 species